rnacentral:rRNA from 1 species
UACAGAGGGGGCAAGCGUUGUUCGGAAUUACUGGGCGUAAAGGGCGCGUAGGCGGCCCGCUAAGUCGAACGUGAAAUCCCCGAGCUCAACUCGGGAACUGCGUCCGAUACUGGCGGGCUUGAAUCCGGGAGAGGGAUGCGGAAUUCCAGGUGUAGCGGUGAAAUGCGUAGAUAUCUGGAGGAACACCGGUGGCGAAGGCGGCAUCCUGGACCGGUAUUGACGCUGAGGCGCGAAAGCUAGGGGAGCAAACGGGG